CCAAGAUACGGGUCGGAUAAUCUCAAAUGCCCAAUUAAUAAGCUCAGAAGGGAAUGAAAGAUUGAUAAAAUCAUCUUCUCUCACCAUUGACAAUUUAAACAUCAGCUUCAAAGUAUCCCAUUUAUGCAGUUUUUUCUAAUUUCCCAGAAAUUAAGCUCAAGCAAACAGAGAUCCGAUGACAACAUGGCUGCAACAACCACCAGAAAAAUAUGAACAUGGUUAACUAACAUAAAUGCAAGACUUGAAAAAAAAAUCAGGGGAUUACCGGAGAAGGGAGGCAACCACCCCUCAAAAAUCCAACAUUUCAUUCAAAUGCCUCAUUCUUGAGCAGUUACUUAUCAAAAGAUGGAGAUACAUUAUGAAUUAAAAGCAUUAAAACUGCAAAUCAGAAGGGCGUGGGUUCAAUAUAUCCCAC
rnacentral:lncRNA from 1 species